UACAGAGACCCCGAGCAUUAUCCGGAUUUAUUGGGCGUAAAGCGUUCGUAGGCGGCUUUGUAAGUCAUCUGUUAAAUCUUCAGGCUCAACCUGGAGGCUGCGGGUGAUACUGUAAGGCUCGAGUAUGGGAGAGGUGCAUGGAAUGCCCGGUGUAGCGGUAAAAUGCGUUAAUAUCGGGUAGAACACCAAAGGCGAAAGCAAUGCACUGGAACAUUACUGACGCUCAUGAACGAAAGCGUGGGUAGCGAAAGGG
rnacentral:rRNA from 1 species